CAGCCGCCGCGGGAAUACAGAGGGUGCAAGCGUUAAUCGGAAUUACUGGGCGUAAAGCGCGCGUAGGUGGUUUGUUAAGUUGGAUGUGAAAUCCCCGGGCUCAACCUGGGAACUGCAUUCAAAACUGACUGACUAGAGUAUGGUAGAGGGUGGUGGAAUUUCCUGUGUAGCGGUGAAAUGCGUAGAUAUAGGAAGGAACACCAGUGGCGAAGGCGACCACCUGGACUAAUACUGACACUGAGGUGCGAAAGCGUGGGGAGCAAACAGGAUUAGAUACCCCUGUAGUCCCUGUCUCUUAUAC
rnacentral:rRNA from 1 species